rnacentral:rRNA from 1 species
GACGAACGCUGGCGGCGUGCUUAACACAUGCAAGUCGAACGGAAAGGCCCUGCUUUUGUGGGGUGCUCGAGUGGCGAACGGGUGAGUAACACGUGAGUAACCUGCCCUUGACUUUGGGAUAACUUCAGGAAACUGGGGCUAAUACCGGAUAGGAGCUCCUGCUGCAUGGUGGGGGUUGGAAAGUUUCGGCGGUUGGGGAUGGACUUGCGGCUUAUCAGCUUGUUGGUGGGGUAGUGGCUUACCAAGGCUUUGACGGGUAGCCGGCCUGGGAGGGUGACCGGCCACUUUGGCACUGGGGAGGGCCCAGGCCCCACUCCGGGGCGACGGUGGGGAGAUGUAUCCAGACGGGCGGAGGCCGGUCUGAACACCCCCGGGUGGGGAAGAGCCGCAUUCGGGUUGGAAGCCCCUUUCGCUUAUACCGGACGGUGAUGACGGUAAAGGGAGAAAAAGCACCGGCUAACUUAGUG